CCUACGGGAGGCAGCAGUAAGGAAUAUUGGACAAUGGACGCAAGUCUGAUCCAGCCAUGCCGCGUGAAGGAUUAAGGCCCUCUGGGUUGUAAACUUCUUUUAUAGGGGACGAAAAAAGGGCUUUCUAGCUCGUCUGACGGUACCCUAUGAAUAAGCACCGGCUAACUCCGUGCCAGCAGCCGCGGUAAUACGGAGGGUGCAAGCGUUAUCCGGAUUCACUGGGUUUAAAGGGUGCGUAGGCGGGCAGUUAAGUCAGUGGUGAAAUCUUCGAGCUCAACUCGGAAACUGCCAUUGAUACUAUCUGUCUUGAAUACUGUGGAGGUGAGCGGAAUAUGUCAUGUAGCGGUGAAAUGCUUAGAUAUGACAUAGAACACCGAUUGCGAAGGCAGCUCGCUACACAAAUAUUGACGCUGAGGCACGAAAGCGUGGGGAUCAAACAGGAUUAGAUACCCUGGUAGUCCACGCCCUAAACUAUGGAUACUCGACAUUUGCGAUACACAGUAAGUGUCUGAGCGAAAGCAUUAAGUAUCCCACCUGGAAGUACGACCGCAAGUUGAAACUCAAAGGAAUUGACGGCUGAGACGNGCGAGGACGACGACGAGGGAGAGG
rnacentral:rRNA from 1 species